CUCUACUAAAAAAUGCAAAAAUUAGCCGGGCGUGGUGGCGGUUGUCUGUAAUUUCAUCUACUCGGGAGGCUGAGGCAGGAGAAUCGCUUGAACCCGGGAAGUGGAGGUUGCAGUGAGCCCAGAUCGAGUCACAGCAUUCCAGCCUGGGCUACAAAGCAAGACUGCGUGUCAGAAAAAGAAAAGAAAAAUGGAUUCAAAGAUUUAUCACUGUUAAGUUCCACCAGCAAAUUAUUAAAUGUGGUUCCAAAGGGAUAUUUAAAAAGGGAAAUUAAAAUUGUUUCCAAGAAAGCCCUAUUCACAGCAGAAACGUAGACACUGUACCUGACCUCACCACACAAAGUUCCCUCAUGUGUUGGGAGGGACCAAGGGGCUCUCUGGUCCUGCACCUGCGUUAAUUAUGGCCGGGAGGUCCGCAGUAGGACCCUAAGGGCUAGGAACCAGCCUGGGUCAGGGGCAGAGAAGUGGUGGAUGUGGCUCCCAAAGUGGCUUAGGGGUUCCCUUCCCUGUGGCUGUUUCCUGACUGGAUGCAGCAGGGUCAGGCCUUUCAGUGUGACGUUUUCUACUCUUUAUUAGAGUGGCAGGAGCGUCCCUGUGCGAGGCCUGACCCAGGUGUGGGCCUUGCAGCCAGCUCGGGGUCCAAGGGGCACUCCUGCGGUGCUGCAAAGGAGGAUUUGUGACAACCCAGAGGAUGGAGGAAACGGCGGCUUUGAAAAGGCAAGUGCCAAGUUAUCAGGGAUCGCUUAUAUCCAUUUCUGGCAGUGAACUGACAAUUUCAGACACUCAGGAGGGAGCUUCCCGCGUGGGAUCACAAAAAGUCCGAGAAGUGUCAGACAUCUGGCCAUUAACCCCAUUCCUACGCAGGGACUACACUGCCGCUUGUCCGAAGGGGCGUGUCAGGGGCGGAGCGAGGAUGAGGGGCGGUGCCAAUAAAAGAGGCGGGGGAGAAGGGGCGGUGCUGAGGGGAGAGGCCGGGCCAAGGGAAGAAGCGUGCGAGAAAGGGUGGGGCGAGUCCAGCUACAGGAAGAGUAGCGUUACUAUGGCAACCCUGACAGGUUUGUGAGCAGCCCCCGGUCCCCUGCCGCUCCGUGAGAAAUCAAACUUCAGGCACUGACGAAGCAUGAAGCCAGCAUCUUAGGAAGAGGUAGUGACAUAAUUACAAGGGCGACCGGAUUACAAUCACAGCCAGCAUGAACAUGGGGCGGCGCACAGUCCUGAAGAGGAAAGCCGGGCUGUGUUGACCUCGCUGUGCAUGCUGGGAGUUGUAGUCUCUUCACUGCUCCCGCCCGUUGUUUCAGGCACUUCGGGACUACAAUCCCAGCAUGACCCGGGCUCGGGGACGGGGCGCAGUUCUCGUGGGAGGAGCGGGGCGGUGAGAGCCUGGCUAGGCAGGCUGGAAACAGUAGCUCUUAACGGUCCCCCGCCCGUUGGUGGCAAGGCGGCUGGACUGGAAUCCCAGCAGGCGACAUGCGAGGAGGCGGGCAGCCCAGGAGGGUUGGACACGGCAAUGUGGACCUCGCCGCUUCCACAACGAUGCUGGCUACUGAUCGCGUGCACUUCCUUGCCAAAGAAAAGAAAUUAAUGUUAUGACUGGAUGAAGACAAUUGUGAAGAAACUGCACUUUGAGGUUGUCUAUCUCUGUAUUCUGAUGGAAAAGCGUGGAGUUUAGAAGCACUGCUCACUCCUUCAGUUUCUAACAAGUUUGAGACUAUGGUUAGGUGGUGAGGAAGGCAGGCUCAGCACCCAAGCCUUGGGGAGACGCAGAAAGGGCCCAUCCCAGGCACUCAGGUGGAGUAAAACUGAUGCUCCAGAAAGAUGCCCAGGGAGAUUCUGUCCUGCUGCGUCCGCACUGUACAGAACUGACGCUGUGCCUACGCCCGUUUCAGAAGCGUGGAGUACUUAAGAGUUAAUCUAAAAAAGCAAAUAUAAAAA
rnacentral:lncRNA from 1 species